rnacentral:sRNA from 1 species
GACCUGGGACAUCAUCUGUUUCGCAGCUCUCCUGCACAGGGAUUGUCAUUCUAUUUCCGAAUCAUUUCUAAAACCCAAGGACACUGUGUUCCAGCCUAUGGUUGCUGUCUCUUUAGCGAGAUCUCGAACAUUUGUAUUUACCUCCGACAUAACUAGAAGUUCAGGUAAGUUAGUUAAUCCCAUAGGGCUCUCUGGUUGUCACAGGUCUGUGGCCAACCACUAGGUGUGGGGCGCGUCUCGUAGACAUGUUAAUUUCAUCUGGUGAAGCGGCGGGUAGGGGACUCGUGAAGAUCAAAUACUCGAAUAUUCCCUUAUCGAUACUUAAGUUUUGUCUUCUGCUGACAGAAGACAAGCUUGCUCCUAAAUUGAAAGUUUUAGAUAAGACCGGCGGCAUUUGAGACACCGCUACAAGCCACUAACGGCGGGUGGAGAUCAACAUGUAACUGACUUUCUUGAGGCGUCGAACGAUGGAACUCCCCUGUAAGUCAGUUGGACCAAAUAGCAAAUGCACACAGAAAACCAGC